CGCGUUGCUAGCGGAGACGGGCUACACAACUGCAGACUUUCACUUUGUUUGUCCUCUGUAAUCAACACAAAUUAAGUUGUUAUUGUGCUGAUUAAACAGGGUGACACUACCUAAACUUCGACAUGGCUGGCACAGCUUACCAUAAUGAAGCUCUUCGCAAACAAAGAUUAAUUGAAAGAAAAUCUGAGGCUAUGAGAAAUUUAAAAGAAUCUUUUGGACAGCAUAGCAUAGAAGCUGGUAUUGAACAAAGUAAACCAUCUAACUUGGUAUUCUCAGAAGCUGGUCAUUAUGCUCAAAACAGAUUCCAUAAUGUAGAAAAAUCCUGUCAAAAGAAUGAGGUGGUUUUUGAGGAGGUGGUGCAUGACCCAAAUUUUAAAUAUAGAAUCGCAAAGGAAUCCAGAGACCCGCCCUGUACACGUUGAUCCCAUUUAUCAAAUCCUGUAUCCAGGUGGAGUUGUCACAAAGUAGACUACAUUUUCAUUGAUAAGGAAAGAAUUCGCCAUAGACGUUGCCGAGCCCAAAAUGAAGGGGAUGAUCAUGUCAUGCCCCUUAUGAACCCGACCGAGUAUAAUUUUAUCGUGCCCAUACAUGAGCUUCCUCCUCGAAAACCACACUUCAAAGUUUGAUAGGGCAUAGACGCUUAGAAAAUUUUAUUUCAUACAUAAUUAUAGUCAUCAUAGAUCAUAUAAUCAUUUUUCAAAGUCACUAAUACUUGGUGACGGAUGUAAUAUUGUUUAACUUAGUCAGAUAGUUCUGCUCUGCACUUUCUUAAUCACAUACUGCCAGUUAUCACAACUUCGAAUUUUCUUUUAAAUUGUUUGCACCUUUGCACAGUAGUGAAAUAAAAUACACUAUAGAACAGUA
rnacentral:misc_RNA from 1 species